rnacentral:rRNA from 1 species
AACGAACGCUGGCGGCAGGCCUAACACAUGCAAGUCGAACGCACCGCAAGGUGAGUGGCGCACGGGUGAGUAACACGUGGGAACGUACCCUUUGGUUCGGAAUAACGUCUGGAAACGGACGCUAAUACCGGAUGAGCCCUGUGGGGGAAAGAUUUAUCGCCAAAGGAGCGGCCCGCGUCUGAUUAGCUAGUUGGUGGGGUAAAGGCCUACCAAGGCGACGAUCAGUAGCUGGUCUGAGAGGAUGAUCAGCCACACUGGGACUGAGACACGGCCCAGACUCCUACGGGAGGCAGCAGUGGGGAAUAUUGGACAAUGGGCGCAAGCCUGAUCCAGCCAUGCCGCGUGAGUGAUGAAGGCCUUCGGGUUGUAAAGCUCUUUCGCACGCGACGAUGAUGACGGUAGCGUGAGAAGAAGCCCCGGCUAACUUCGUGCCAGCAGCCGCCGUAAGAC